rnacentral:rRNA from 1 species
GGCGGACGGGUGAGUAACGCGUGGGUAACCUGCCUUAUACUGGGGGAUAACAGCCAGAAAUGACUGCUAAUACCGCAUAAGCGCACAGAACCGCAUGGUUCGGUGUGAAAAACUCCGGUGGUAUAAGAUGGACCCGCGUUGGAUUAGCUAGUUGGCAGGGCAACGGCCUACCAAGGCGACGAUCCAUAGCCGGCCUGAGAGGGUGAACGGCCACAUUGGGACUGAGACACGGCCCAGACUCCUACGGGAGGCAGCAUG